GUGAAUCAUCAAAUUUUUGAACGCAAAUUGCGCCUUUUUCGGAUGGCAUGUCUGUUUGAGGGCACCAUUUAACAAAUAAUGUGCGUUUCGUGUGCACACGUUGAUUAGCUUUCCAAAAUUAUGUGGUAUUAGUUUUGUUUGCGCAUAAUAAACAGCGCGAUGCUGUUUUUCAGUUCGAGUGAUGUAAAAUUUUUUCUUUCUUGGGUUGUGAAAAGCGUCAUCGCUCAAAUGGUUGUGUCGUUUCUACA
rnacentral:misc_RNA from 1 species